GCCUGAAUAUGAUGAUGAUAAUGAUAAUGGUGAUGAUGAUGAUCACAAAGCAUGAUAAACCAAAUACCAUCAUCAUCAUCAUCAUCAUCAUCAUCAUCAUUA
rnacentral:miRNA from 1 species